CCCCUUGCAUGCUUUCAUUAAUGCCGUCCAUGCAUGGUGAAUAUCUCAUUUAAUUCAUGUUUUGCUUCCCUUUAAAUGCCGUUCCAUACAUGGGAACAUUUCAUUUAAUUCAUGUCUUUGCUGCACAUUAAAUCAGCAAGCAGCUUCUUUAAUUUCGUCCAUUAAAUGGCCACAUGAAAAAGCACAAACAACUCCUUUAAUGCCAUUCCUUGCAUGUAGAACAGCAUCUUUAAUGCAUGUCUUGCUGUACAUUAAAUUCGGCCAACAUCCACUUCCUUAAAUUGCCGUCCAAGCCAUUAAACCUGCAGCCAAAUAAUUAAAUUCAGUCAUUA
rnacentral:lncRNA from 1 species